rnacentral:lncRNA from 1 species
UUGGCUGGAUAUUUGGUCAGACCCUUUAAAUAAAAGACCAUUAAAAAACAAAAGAAAUGCAAACUGAUCAUGUGAUGUUCGUGUAUUAAUAAAAUGCAUUCCCUGCAGUUGUGCAGACUAGCAAAGAAAACAAUCAGAACUUUUUAAAACAUUUUAUUUAAAAAAAAAAUUAAACAAAAAUGCAAACUUUCCAAGUUCACUGAAU